rnacentral:rRNA from 1 species
GUCGAGCGGACAGAAGGGAGCUUGCUCCCGGAUGUUAGCGGCGGACGGGUGAGUAACACGUGGGUAACCUGCCUGUAAGACUGGGAUAACUCCGGGAAACCGGAGCUAAUACCGGAUAGUUCCUUGAACCGCAUGGUUCAAGGAUGAAAGACGGUUUCGGCUGUCACUUACAGAUGGACCCGCGGCGCAUUAGCUAGUUGGUGAGGUAACGGCUCACCAAGGCGACGAUGCGUAGCCGACCUGAGAGGGUGAUCGGCCACACUGGGACUGAGACACGGCCCAGACUCCUACGGGAGGCAGCAGUAGGGAAUCUUCCGCAAUGGACGAAAGUCUGACGGAGCAACGCCGCGUGAGUGAUGAAGGUUUUCGGAUCGUAAAGCUCUGUUGUUAGGGAAGAACAAGUGCAAGAGUAACUGCUUGCACCUUGACGGUACCUAACCAGAAAGCCACGGCUAACUACGUGCCAGCAGCCGCGGUAAUACGUAGGUGGCAAGCGUUGUCCGGAAUUAUUGGGCGUAAAGGGCUCGCAGGCGGUUUCUUAAGUCUGAUGUGAAAGCCCCCGGCUCAACCGGGGAGGGUCAUUGGAAACUGGGAAACUUGAGUGCAGAAGAGGAGAGUGGAAUUCCACGUGUAGCGGUGAAAUGCGUAGAGAUGUGGAGGAACACCAGUGGCGAAGGCGACUCUCUGGUCUGUAACUGACGCUGAGGAGCGAAAGCGUGGGGAGCGAACAGGAUUAGAUACCCUGGUAGUCCACGCCGUAAACGAUGAGUGCUAAGUGUUAGGGGGUUUCCGCCCCUUAGUGCUGCAGCUAACGCAUUAAGCACUCCGCCUGGGGAGUACG